rnacentral:rRNA from 1 species
UAGGGAAUUUUGGACAAUGGGCGAAAGCCUGAUCCAGCAACGCCGCGUGCGCGAUGAAGGCCUUCGGGUUGUAAAGCGCUUUUAGAGGAGAUGAGAAAGGACAGUAUCCUCUGAAUAAGCCUCGGCGAACUACGUGCCAGCAGCCGCGGUAAAACGUAGGAGGCUAGCGUUAUCCGGAUUUAUUGGGCGUAAAGCGUGUGCAGGCGGUUAUGCAAGUUGGAUGUGAAAGCUCCUGGCUUAACUGUGAGAGGUCGUUCAAAACUGCAUGAAUAGAGAAUGGGAGAGGGAGGUGGAAUUCAGGGUGUAGUGGUGAAAUGCGUAGAUAUCCGGAGGAACACCAGUGGCGAAAGCGGCCUCCUGGACCAUUUCUGACGCUCAGACACGAAAGCUAGGGUAGCAAACGG